rnacentral:rRNA from 1 species
AUUGAACGCUGGCGGCAUGCUUUACACAUGCAAGUCGAACGGCAGCGCGGGCUUCGGCUUGGCGGCGAGUGGCGAACGGGUGAGUAAUGCAUCGGAACGUGCCCAGUAGUGGGGGAUAGCCCGGCGAAAGCCGGAUUAAUACCGCAUACGACCUGAGGGUGAAAGCGGGGGACCGAAAGGCCUCGCGCUAUUGGAGCGGCCGAUGUCGGAUUAGCUAGUUGGUGGGGUAAAGGCUUACCAAGGCGACGAUCCGUAGCUGGUCUGAGAGGACGACCAGCCACACUGGGACUGAGACACGGCCCAGACUCCUACGGGAGGCAGCAGUGGGGAAUUUUGGACAAUGGGGGCAACCCUGAUCCAGCCAUGCCGCGUGCGGGAAGAAGGCCUUCGGGUUGUAAACCGCUUUUGUUCGGGAAGAAAUCCUCUGGGCUAAUACCCCGGGGGGAUGACGGUACCGGAAGAAUAAGCACCGGCUAACUACGUG